rnacentral:tRNA from 1 species
GCCCGGGUAGCUCAGUUUGGAUAGAGCACGGCACUCCUAAUGCCGGGGUCGCAGGUUCAAGUCCUGUCUCGGGCG